UCACUCACUACCCUUUGGAGCAACUUGGAUCCAGUCCAGUCCAGAAAUAUGAAGACCAAAAUAUGUGCAGUAGAAUCCUAAGAUGGCCCCGUGACGCCUGGCCCUGCUGUCCACACAGGUACAGUUUCCUCCCCGUGAGUGUGGGCACGACUGUGAAGAUGAUAGAAGUCAGUCCUGUGAUCAGGUUAUAUGGCAAAAGGGAAAGGGUUCUGAAGAUGAAAUUAAGGCCCCUACUCAGUUAGACUUUGAGGUUAUCGAAGGGGGGAGAUCCCGUGGUGGGCCUGGCCUAAUCAGGGAAGCCUCUUAAAACGGGGUCAGACCUCUGAGGUCAGAGAGAUUCUACCAGCCACCUUCACAAAGAACGAAGGCUUCUCGCGUUCUAUAGCGGCAAGGAAACGGACUCAGCAAAGAGGACCCUGUGCCUCAGAUGAAACGGCCUCAGCAAAGAGGACCCUGUGCCUCAGAUGAGGCCAAGGCUGAGGCCAACACCUCAACUGCAGCCUGGCGCAGAGGACCCAGGUGAGCCGGGCCACACGCCUGAUCCAUGCAAACUGUGAGAUAAUAACGGUGUGCCGCUCUGAGCCGCGACGUUGGUGGUAAUUUGUUCACAGUAACAGAAAACGAACACACCAUGUUUCGUUCUGAACUUUGGACAACAGGGAAUUUGGAUGCAAAUAUGGACUCACGUUUUUCACAUCUUUACAGUAAAUAUAUAUUAAUUUUGCUAUUAAAUAGAGGCAAAUGCUAAA